rnacentral:rRNA from 1 species
GUAGGGAAUAUUGGGCAAUGGAGGCAACUCUGACCCAGCCAUGCCGCGUGCAGGAUGACGGCCCUCUGGGUUGUAAACUGCUUUUAUACGGGAAGAAAAAAUACUACGUGUAGUAUACUGACGGUACCGUAAGAAUAAGGAUCGGCUAACUCCGUGCCAGCAGCCGCGGUAAUACGGAGGAUCCAAGCGUUGUCCGGAUGUAUUGGGUUUAAAGGGUGCGUAGGCGGAUCUUUAAGUCAGUGGUGAAAGCCUGCAGCUUAACAGUAGAAUUGCCAUUGAAACUGAAGAUCUUGAAUGUGGUUAAAGUAGGCGGAAUGUAUCAUGUAGCGGUGAAAUGCUUAGAUAUGAUACAGAACACCGAUAGCGAAGGCAGCUUGCUGAACCAUUAUUGACGCUGAGGCACGAAAGCGUGGGGAGCGAACAGGAUUAGAAACCCGAGUAGUCC